rnacentral:rRNA from 1 species
CAGUCGCCACGGUAAUACGGAGGGUGCAAGCGUUAUCCGGAUUUAUUGGGUUUAAAGGGUCCGUAGGCGGAUCUGUAAGUCAGUGGUGAAAUCUCACAGCUUAACUGUGAAACUGCCAUUGAUACUGCAGGUCUUGAGUAAAUUUGAAGUGGCUGGAAUAAGUAGUGUAGCGGUGAAAUGCAUAGAUAUUACUUAGAACACCAAUUGCGAAGGCAGGUCACUAAGAUUUAACUGACGCUGAUGGACGAAAGCGUGGGGAGCGAACAGGAUUAGAUACCCCCGUAGUCCCUGUCUCUUAUAC